AGAGUUUGAUCAUGGCUCAGGAUGAACGCUGGCGGCGUGCCUAAUACAUGCAAGUCGAACGCGCAGCGAAAGGUGCUUGCACCUUUCAAGCGAGUGGCGAACGGGUGAGUAACACGUGGAUAACCUGCCUCAAGGCUGGGGAUAACAUUUGGAAACAGAUGCUAAUACCGAAUAAAACUUAGUAUCGCAUGAUACAAAGUUGAAAGGCGCUACGGCGUCACCUAGAGAUGGGUCCGCGGUGCAUUAGUUAGUUGGUGGGGUAAAGGCCUACCAAGACAAUGAUGCAUAGCCGAGUUGAGAGACUGAUCGGCCACAUUGGGACUGAGACACGGCCCAAACUCCUACGGGAGGCUGCAGUAGGGAAUCUUCCACAAUAGGCGAAAGCCUGAUGGAGCAACGCCGCGUGUGUGAUGAAGGCUUUAGGGUCGUAAAGCACUGUUGUAUGGGAAGAAAUGCUAGAAUAGGGAAUGAUUCUAGUUCGACGGUACCAUACCAGAAAGGGACGGCUAAAUACGUGCCAGCAGCCGCGGUAAUACGUAUGUCCCGAGCGUUAUCCGGAUUUAUUGGGCGUAAAGCGAGCGCAGACGGUUGAUUAAGUCUGAUGUGAAAGCCCGGAGCUCAACUCCGGAAUGGCAUUGGAAACUGGUUAACUUGAGUGUUGUAGAGGUAAGUGGAACUCCAUGUGUAGCGGUGGAAUGCGUAGAUAUAUGGAAGAACACCAGUGGCGAAGGCGGCUUAC
rnacentral:rRNA from 1 species